CCUGCUUCGGCCUCCCAAAGUGCUGGGAUUACAGGCGUGAGUCACCGUGCUGGCCGCGUUUUUAGUUUUGACAUCCGAUUAAGGGGACAAUACGGAGUCACUGAAGUGUGUUUCAGCUUGAGUGUGACUCGGAUCCCGAGCGAGGCCAGGCAGCCACAGUGCCCACUGCAGAAGGAGGAGUUGCAUGUGCCCACCCCCACGUGCCAGGCUUCUCCUCCAAGGGGGACCCCAGGGGCGCUGAGCCCGCCUGCAGAUGCGGUUUUACCAAGGGCAGCGACAGCUCCAGGCACCCCUGGGGCCAGCUGGGUGCAAGCAGCAUGAGUCACCUCGUAUUUUAACAACUUCAUUCAUUCAUUUAUUUUUUAUAGAGACAGGGGUCUCACUCUGCUGCUGAGGCUGGUCUCUAACUCCUGGUUUCAAGUGAUCCUCCCACAUCGGGCUCCCAAAGCGCUGCGGUUUCAAGUAUGAGCCCCCAGGCCCCGCUGUCUGGGUCGUUUCAGAGCUGAAGGUGCUGCUGUGAAGAUGACAUUUCCUGGUGAAGGCUGUAUCUAUCCCGGGCUUUCUGGCCUCAGGCCGACUCACAGACACGGCUGUCGGUCAGAAUUCUGCAGAUUAUUCCUGGAAAUACUAUUCAGUCUCAUGUCUACUGUGAAACAAAACCCCCUACUCCCGUAAGAUCCCGCCUCUCUACUUUUCUCCAGAAUUUCCUAACCCGGAUGGCUUCUCUUCUCUUCCCUCUGCGUGCGCCUAAAACGGAGCUUCGACCCAGAGGGGACCCGUGAAGCGGCGACUCUGCGGAUGGGAAGUCCCCCUCCCUCCGGGCCCUGGCGGGGACUCACUUCCAGGCACUGAGAGGCCGCUGGACGGGAGCACAGGGCGCUGCAGAAAGCGCUGGGACCUGGGUCUCUGGCUCAGCUGACCCCCUGACCAAGGCCGGGAGACGCCCGCCGGGCCCCACGGAUUUGGCCUGGACCCCCCGGCCGCUCUGGGGUGGAGAGCGGCGGACAGUGCAGGUGGCGGAGGGGGCCACAGUCCUGGUCUUCGACGCCGGCUCCG
rnacentral:lncRNA from 1 species